GAGGGUGUAGCUCAGUGGUAGGGUGCAUGCUUAGCAUGCAUGAGGUCCUGGGUUCAGUCCCCAGUGCCUCCA
rnacentral:tRNA from 1 species